UACUUAUGUUGGCCAACCACCAUUUGCACUUCCUUCUCUAUUCUGGUGUCACUCUAACCCUAAAAUUUUUAGCUCCUCUACUCCUUUCUCUCUACCACUGCAUCUCACCUUUCCCCAUGUGCUCUCAUCUUUUAUUUUUCCUUUCUUUUCUCCCUAAGUGUCGCCGCUUGCCCCCACCAUCAUAGGGUCGUCGUCCUCUUUUCUUUCCCAUUCCCAUCGUCGCACAUUGCACCACCAUUAAGCGAUUGUUUUCUUUUCUUUUCUUCCUAAAAUUGCCUACUUUACACUGUUGAUCUCUUCUUAUUUCUUUUUAUCAUUGCCACAACUACCACAUUGGUAGACUGUUGUGUUUCUUCCUUCUUCUUUUUUUCUUGUUUUUGCUUACCACACCUUUGAACCAUCAAACUUCUUGAUUAUUACCUUGUUGCUGCUGCCUCUACUAAUAUUCGGGCUGCCGAUUUUCCUUCCCUCAUUGUAGGAUUCCUUAUUCACUCGAUACACUAUUCAUGAUUAGAUCCAUAGUCUUUAGCAACAAAUCGGGCCAAAUCUGGGAGAGGCAGAUCAGAUUUGAACUUGAGGAGUGUCGAACAAACUAGUAGCGAAGAUAACUUGUGGGGUUAGGACUCGGACUCGGUAUUCGGAGCACUGUCAUCAUUUUUCCCUUAAAAACAUAUUUCUAAAUUGUUUUAUCAGUUCUUUUGGGUUUUGCACUGUUUUAAACGGGCUAUGGCAUAGACUUUAUUAAUUA